rnacentral:rRNA from 1 species
UACAGAGGUUCCGAGCGUUGUCCGGAUUCAUUGGGCGUAAAGCGCUCGUAGGCGGCUUGAUAAGUCGGAUGUGAAACCUCCAGGCUCAACCUGGGGUCGCCAUCCGAUACUGUCAUGGCUAGAGUCCGGUAGGGGCCCACGGAAUUCCUGGUGUAGCGGUGAAAUGCGCAGAUAUCAGGAGGAACACCGGUGGCGAAGGCGGUGGGCUGGGCCGGCACUGACGCUGAGGAGCGAAAGCGUGGGGAGCGAACAGG